rnacentral:rRNA from 1 species
UACGGAGGGUGCAAGCGUUAUCCGGAUUUACUGGGUUUAAAGGGUGCGCAGGCGGAUAUGUAAGUCAGUGGUGAAAUCUCCGGGCUUAACCCGGAACUGCCGUUGAUACUAUAUAUCUUGAAUGCUGUGGAGGUAAGCAGAAUAUGUCAUGUAGCGGUGAAAUGCUUAGAUAUGACAUAGAAUACCUAUUGCGAAGGCAGCUACUACGCAGAUAUUGACGCUCAUGCACGAAAGCGUGGGGAUCAAACAGG